CGUCUUUCGAGACGAGUCGCAUACCGACCGAUAAUUUCCGUCCAUAUACCGUACAGUUAAUGGCAUCGUUUUCGUGUCUGGCGUUUGUGUACGAGUGUGUUUGUUCGUGUGUGUGUGUGUGUAUGUGUGUGUGUGGUGGCGAUGACGACGGACGACUAUAUACCACGAGGACGAUUAUAAUGUUUAAUACAAACAGAACAAGUUGUCACACAUUAUAAAUGAUUCCUUCGAAAAUGGUUGUGCUCCGCAUAGUUAACUUUUUGAAUAUCCACGCCGUGACGGAUUCCCUCUAAUUUCAACAGCAACGAGACUCAAGAGCUUGCUUGUUCUGAGUAAUAGAAUCUCUAAUCUACGUGUGACGUGUCGCCCAUCCGGAUACUGUACUAUAGUUGAA